rnacentral:rRNA from 1 species
UACAGAGGUCUCGAGCGUUGUUCGGAUUCAUUGGGCGUAAAGGGUGCGUAGGUGGCUUGGUAAGUCGGAUGUGAAAUCCCGGGGCUCAACCCCGGAACUGCAUUCGAUACUGCUUGAGCUUGAGUCCUGGAGAGGAGAUCGGAAUUUACGGUGUAGCAGUGAAAUGCGUAGAUAUCGUAAGGAAGACCGGUGGCGAAGGCGGAUCUCUGGACAGGAACUGACACUGAGGCACGAAGGCCAGGGGAGCAAACAGG